GGAGGAGGAGAACAAGAAGAAGGUGGUCCGUUUCAGGCUGUCCUUGGAUGAAGAUAUGUUUAUGAAGGAAGUGUGUGGUUUUCCUUACAACCACCAUCUCAACCUCAAAUUGAACCAGACUGGAGCUAGAGCAGCCAUCUUGCUACCCGCCUGAGGAUGAAUGCAACGCACAGAUGACUAUAUGCAGCAGAUCACCCCCAAGAAACUCCUGGAGAAAAGCA